UACAAGUCAUAUUUUUUAAUUCUUCCACGUACAGAGUCCCAUCUCUUCGCCGUGAUCUGGCGGCACUGGUACCUCGAAGUAUAUAUCGCACGAUAUAGAAGAAGCUGGAUGGUUCUAAUGUAGGAGACAUAUGGUGGGAUUCGGAACGCUUUUAUUCAUGCGUUGAUAAAUCUGACAAAACAAUUUACAGGCAGGAUGUAAUCGUGAAGGUACGUAUAUAUUUCGUUGAUUUUAGCCUUGACCACUUAGUAUGAGAAUUGACAGCUUGGUUUUUUUUUCAUUUUUCAUUGUAAAAUUUUUCACCUUCUUAAAGACGUUAGCAUUGUUACAAUGUGAUUGGAACCGGGGGUAAAACUGCAACGUAAUUCUAUUUCCUUUGACAUAAUUGUGGCAUUAAUAGACGUUAACCUAAUUACGUCCUAGAGAUACAAUUAAAUCGACGUUUCCCCUUAAAACGUCUACGUCAAACUUAUGUAAAGCAAUAGGAAUUUGACACUUAUUUUAUGACACUUAUAUUAAUAUUUUCUUUCCCCGGACAGGAUGAUGAUUUUACUUGUCCGUUCUACAUAGAAAUGUAUAUAUGUUUUCAGACGAUCGUCCAAGUUGAACGUUUCUUGAGAAAGCGGUUCAACCUAUCGAAAGGCCCCACAGCAGAGAAAAUCCAUAUUUAUUACUUGUCGAACGGUGAUGCCAAAUGGAGAGUAAAAGCAUUUUCCGAAAUUAAGGAUCGCCGGCUGUGCUUGACCAACAUCAUAAUGUCAACCAAACCAUCAAACUUCUAUUGCAACGUGGACCCCGUUGGGCAAUACAAAACGGGGAAAGGAAUCACCAGGAGUAAGCCCACCAUCCCGAGGGGUGAACUCGCACCACAUGAUAAAUACACACGAGUUUCUGAAAUGAUGAAAAUCACGGAAGCGACACAGGAAGAGAAACCACCAUCUCGUAAGUAUAUUUCCAUUAUUGACUUGUGAUUGUCAACAUAGGUACGUUGUAGGCUCCUCUCUUCAAGGUGUGAUGUAAAAACUCCUCUCCAAGGGGUGAAUUAAAAACUUUUCUCUUCAAUGUGUGAUUUAAAGACUCCUUUUUCGAGGGGUGAUGUAAGAAUAGACGUUUUGUUGCUUUGUCUUCGCGAGAGGGGUCCCAUCAUUCCUUAAGAAACUGGAUUUUAAGCCUUCGCCUACAACUAGUCAACUCAUAUUUCGUAGGGAACCGUUUAUCUUCUGAAAUCACCUCUUAUUGCAGACAACAUAUUAUUUUAAAAGCAAUUUUUCUAACGUCGAUCCUAGUUAUCUCAUAAGAGUAAACCACGUUUCUCAGUUAGUGGGUGAGGAGAAUUUCCAUUUCACUCCUCAUAACGUAGAAAUUUAAGGUGAAAUUCUUUUACAGGGAUCACUGACCCCGAAUUGGAAGCUUUGGUGGAAGAAAGGUUCCUAGCAAGAAAAGCCGACCUCGAAAAAGAAUUCCAAGCCCGCAUGACGGAGUUUUUCAAUAAUCAACUAAGGACAACGGCAUUUGAAGCCCCUGCAGGAACAGACUUGACGCCAUCAGCCGAUAUUCCUCCCGGCGAUUUGGCGAAAAAGCCAAAAGUCUCUUCAGCGACAGUCUCUUCACCAAAAGGCAAAUCGUGGCGUUCAGGACCGACGAAGCUGAGAUGAAUCUGCAUUUACUGUAGUACCUUGAAUUCUUUCUUUAUCUCAGGAAAGAGGAGCACGGAAAAAUUAAUGGGCUCUCAAAGUCUUGGAUGAAAGAAGUCACUCUCAUUUAAAAUGUAACUCACUGUUUUUUUUUUUUUUUUUUUUUUUUUUUUUGCAGGUGAAAGCUUACACUUGGCUACAUCGAAAUGACUCUUGUGUUGCUAAUUCUUCCCGAGGAAUCGCGAAAGCAGUUGUGGCUGAAAGUUUGCUGUCUACUUUCUCUCUUCAAGGCGGGCGAGCCAAAAAUAAACCUCACAAACGGCCUUUCAAUGCAUUGGCACUCUACUCUUUGAUCAUCCCUGCUGUUCAUAAUCAAAUGACCCAGUGGAUCAACAGAGGAGGAUGUAAUCUGAAUGACCCGACUGACAGUUCAAGCGAGUCAGAUGAGGAAGAAGCAUGGCAGAGAAUGGCGGUCACAGCAGAUGAGAAAAUGCACUUUACCAAGCGGCAGUCUAAGAAGUAGCAUAGUCUUCUGAAAAUGGCAGUGUCCGUAGGGAAUAAGAUCAAAGUCAGGCAGAAUAAAAAAUAAAUCUGUGUAUUCUGCCAGCAAGAGGAAUUUGUAUAUUCUGCCGACCCCUGCGGGCACGCCAUUUUCUGUUCCAAUUGUAUACUGGCCGGUAUAAAACCAUCGAAGUACACUUAUACCCUUGCAGAUGGCACAAUCGCCACCCACCAUUCCUACACUAUGUACCCGUCAAGUGUCCACUUUGUAGAGCUAUUAUCGGCUCAUUAUGCAAAGAGGCCAACAAAACUGCGAUUUUAAACGAAACGACUUGCUUUACAUUUAUAUUUUUUUUAGAAAAUGUUAAAUUUGCAAAAAUUUACAUUUAAGUUUUUCAUCAAAAUUAAUUUUUGUUACUUAAUGAGUGAAAGUUGCCAGAUUGUCAAUUUAAUAGGACUUAGAAUUUUUACUAUUCAUACAUACUCAUAAAUUUUUUUUUUUUUCUCCUAGUUCCUCUUUUGAUAGGUACAAACUAGAAUUUUUUAAUUUUGUUAUGAUUUUCUUUAGAAUUACUUUCAGUACUAUUUUUUCUUUAUUUGAUGUUUUUUUACUUAAUAAAAUGUGGCUGUUCAUUAUCUUCUGUUUUUUAUUCCAGUUUUUAAUUCUUACCAGUGUAGGUGUGCAAGAUUUCCAUGAACCUUAGCCCUCUGAAUUAUUUAAUUGGAUUGUAAAAGUUUCUAGUAUACUCAUUAGGAUAUCUUCCGAGAGCUAUGUCUGUAUGCUAAGGUAGAGAUUAUUUUUUUGUAUUUCUGCCAUUUUUUCCUGGACAAUACGCUCAUUAAAAAAUAUAUGUACAUAUUUAUGCAUUUCUCAGUUUUUUUAAGAAUAGUUCUUAAUAGUAUGGAGAACAAAGACUGCAGGUUGGAUUAUUUUUAAAAGAAUCUGUUCAGUGCUCCCUUCCUUAGCAUAGCAGCAAUACCAUGGUGGGAUUUAUUUUUCAAAACCAAAACUACUAUGAGUAAAGGUUAUAAGACAUUUCGUCAACGAUUUUUUGUCCGCGCACCUGUUUUUUCCAGUAAUUUACGUCCA